rnacentral:rRNA from 1 species
CCUACGGGUGGCUGCAGUGGGGAAUAUUGGACAAUGGGCGAAAGCCUGAUCCAGCCAUGCCGCGUGUGUGAAGAAGGCCUUCGGGUUGUAAAGCACUUUCAGUGGGGAAGAAAGCCUUGGGGCUAAUACCCUCGAGGAAGGACAUCACCCACAGAAGAAGCACCGGCUAACUCCGUGCCAGCAGCCGCGGUAAUACGGAGGGUGCGAGCGUUAAUCGGAAUUACUGGGCGUAAAGCGCGCGUAGGCGGUCUGAUAAGCCGGUUGUGAAAGCCCCGGGCUCAACCUGGGAACGGCAUCCGGAACUGUCAGGCUAGAGUGCAGGAGAGGAAGGUAGAAUUCCCGGUGUAGCGGUGAAAUGCGUAGAGAUCGGGAGGAAUACCAGUGGCGAAGGCGGCCUUCUGGACUGACACUGACGCUGAGGUGCGAAAGCGUGGGUAGCAAACAGGAUUAGAUACCCCUUGUAGUC